ACCCUUUGCCACACUCCUUCAGAGAUGCGCAGUGCUGCCCCUUUCUAUGGGCAGGGCCGAAGGUCCGCGUGUAAAAGUACCCAGUCCCUGGUAACCUGACACUUCCCUUUUAAAAGCCACCUUUUGUCUAUCUCUGGCCUGCCACGAUUCUUCCUGUGCUCCAUAGGAGGACCCAUUGGACCCCCGGGCUGGCUGCAGGGCCCACACCUGGGUUAGACCUCGCACAGGGACGCUGCUGCCACUGUAAUAAAGCGUGCCUACACGCUUCUGAAACUGGUGUAGGAACAACCUCAGUUCUGUGAAAGGCGGACGCAGCAGGACAGAAUCUCCGUGGACAUCUGUCUGGAGGAGCAAUUUUACUGCGACAUUUUAAAGAAACAAAUUUAAUUGAUUUCCAAGGGUGUCCAUCGCGCUUCCUUCACUGCCUUGAUCAUGUCGGGGUCACCACCUGCGGGGGUUUGUCCUGCAGACCCUGACUCAACGACGGAUGAAUAAUGUACACUGACACAGAUCUUAUGCUUGUCAGUCCUGCUGAGCAUCCAGGCCACUUACAGACUCCAAGAAGAGUCCUGUCAGCCACGGCUCUGACUUGUUGGCCCUCCCGGCAUUUAUUUAGCACACAUUUAAUGACAGAAGUCUCAGGCUGGAAACACUCUUUUUGUAGAACAUACAAAUGGACAUUUCUAAGCACAUUGAGGCCUAUAAUGAAAAAUCAAAUAUCCCACAAUGAAAACUAGAAGGAAGCUAUCUGUGAUAAUGCUUUGUGGUGUAUGGAUUCAUCUCACUGACUGAAACCUGAGUUUUGAUUCACCAGGUUAAAAACGCUCUUUUUGUAGAACCUACAAAAAGACAUUUCUGAGCCCAUUGAGGCCUACAGUGAAAAACCAAGAAUCCCAUAAUACAAUCUAGAAAACAAGCUAUCUAGGAAACUGUUUUGGAUGUGUGGAUUCAUUUAACAGAAUGGAAAUAGUGUUUUGAUUCACCAUGUUUGAAACACUCUUUUUGUGGAAUGCACGAAGAACAUUCUUUGUGGAAGAACAUUGAUGCCUAUAGUGAUUAACCAAAUAUCACGUGAUGCAAACUAGAAACAAGCUAUCUGUGAAAAUGCCUUGCAGCGUAUGGAUUCAUGUCACAGAGUUACACCUAUGUUUUGAUUCAACAGGUUGGAAACAAUCUUUUUGUAGAAUCUACAAAGGAAUAUUUCUGAGCCAAUUGAGUUCUAGAGUGAAAAACAGAAUAUCCUGUGAUAAAAACUAUAAAUAAGCUCUCUGUGAAAUUGCUUUGAGACUGUGGAUGCAUCUUUCAGAGUUAUGCCCUUGCUUAUAUUCAACAGGUUGGAAACACUUUUCUUGUAGAAUCUAUGAAGGGAUAUUUCUGAACCUAUUGAGGCCUAUGGUGAAAAAUUGAAUAUUCUGCGAUAUAAACCAGAAACAAGCUCUCUGUGAAAAUGCUUUUCCAUGUGUGCAUCCAUCUUACAGAGUUAAACGUUUGUUUAGAUUCAACAGGUUGGAAAUACUCUUUUUGUAGAAUCUAUGAAGGGAUAUUUCUGAACUUUUUGAGGCCUAUUGGCAAAAUCCGAAUAUUACGUGAUAAAAACUAGAAACAAGGUAUCAGUGAAAAUGCUUUGUGAUGUGUGGGUUUAUCUCACCAAAUAAAACCUGUGUCUUGAUUCACCAGGUUGGACACACUUUUUUUUCUAUAACCUACAUAGGGCGAUUUCUGAGCCUAUUGAGGUCUAUAGCAAAGCAACAACAACAAAUAUCCUGUCUUAUAAUCUAGAAAGAAGUUAUCUCUGAAAAUACUUUAUGAUGUGUGAAUUCAUCUCACAAAGUUAAACCUUUGUUUUGAUUCAACUGAUUGGAAACACUCUUUUUGUAAAAUCUAUGAAGGGAAAUUUCUGAGCCCAUUUAGGCCUAUAGUGAGAAACAGAAUAUCCCACUGUAAUAAGUAGAAACAAGCUAUCUGUGAAAAUCAUUUAUGGUGGCUGGAUUCAUCUCACCAAAUGAAACCUGUGCUUUGAUUCACCAGUUUGGAAACACUAUUUUUAUAGAAUCUAUGCAGGAAUAUUUCUGAUCCCAUUGAGGCAUAUGCUGAAAAUUCGAAUAUCCCAUGAUAAAAACUACAAACAAGCUAUCUAUGAAAAUGUUUUGUCAUGUGUGGAUUCAUCUCACAGAGUUAAACCUUUGUUUUGAUUCAUCUGUUUGAAAACACGCUUUUUUGUAGAAUCUAAGAAUCAACAUUUCUGAGUGCAUUGAAGCCUAUAGUGAAAAACAAAAUAUCUGAUGAUAAAAACUAGAAACAAGCUAUCUGUGAAAAUGCUUUGUGAUAUGUGGAUUCAUCUCAAAGAAUUAAACUUUAUUUUGAUUCAACAGGCUGGAAACACUGUUUUCGUAGAACCUACAAAAAGACAUUGGGGAGCCCACUGAGUCUUACAGUGAUAAACCAAGGAUCCUGUGAUAAAACUAGAAACAAGCUAUCUGUGAAAAUGCUUUGCAGUUGGUGAAUUUCUUUCAUAGUUAAACCUUUUUUUAUUCAAUACGUUGGAAACACCAUUUUUUAGUGUCUCUAAAGGGACUUUUUCAGCCCUUUGAAACCUAUAGUGAAAAACCAAAUAUCUUGCAAUAAAAACAAAUAAACAAAAAAGAACUACUUAUGAAAAUGCCUUGUGAUGUGUGGAUUCAUCUCACAGAGUUAAACCAUUGUUGUGAUUCAACAGGUUGGAAACAUGCUUUUUGUAGAAUCUACGAGUUGACAUUUCUGAGCCCUCUCUGGGUUAUGGUGAAAACGAAAUAUCCCAUGAUAAAAACUAGAAACAACCUAUCUGUGAAAAUGCUUUGCAAUGUGUGGAUUCAUUUCACAGAAUUAAACCAUUGUUUUGAUUUAACAGGUUGGAAACACUCUUUUUGUAGAAUGUAUGAAGAGAUAUUUCUGAGGCCUGUUGUGAAAAACUGAGGUUUCCACAAGAAAAACUGGAAACAAGUUAUCUGAGAAAAUGCUUUAUGAUGGGUGAAUUCAUCUCACAAAAUUAAACCUUCGUUUUGAUUCAAAAGGUUGGAAUAACUUU
rnacentral:lncRNA from 1 species